AGUCGAGCGGACAGAAGGGAGCUUGCUCCCGGAUGUUAGCGGCGGACGGGUGAGUAACACGUGGGUAACCUGCCUGUAAGACUGGGAUAACUCCGGGAAACCGGAGCUAAUACCGGAUAGUUCCUUGAACCGCAUGGUUCAAGGAUGAAAGACGGUUUCGGCUGUCACUUACAGAUGGACCCGCGGCGCAUUAGCUAGUUGGUGAGGUAACGGCUCACCAAGGCGACGAUGCGUAGCCGACCUGAGAGGGUGAUCGGCCACACUGGGACUGAGACACGGCCCAGACUCCUACGGGAGGCAGCAGUAGGGAAUCUUCCGCAAUGGACGAAAGUCUGACGGAGCAACGCCGCGUGAGUGAUGAAGGUUUUCGGAUCGUAAAGCUCUGUUGUUAGGGAAGAACAAGUGCAAGAGUAACUGCUUGCACCUUGACGGUACCUAACCAGAAAGCCACGGCUAACUACGUGCCAGCAGCCGCGGUAAUACGUAGGUGGCAAGCGUUGUCCGGAAUUAUUGGGCGUAAAGGGCUCGCAGGCGGUUUCUUAAGUCUGAUGUGAAAGCCCCCGGCUCAACCGGGGAGGGUCAUUGGAAACUGGGAAACUUGAGUGCAGAAGAGGAGAGUGGAAUUCCACGUGUAGCGGUGAAAUGCGUAGAGAUGUGGAGGAACACCAGUGGCGAAGGCGACUCUCUGGUCUGUAACUGACGCUGAGGAGCGAAAGCGUGGGGAGCGAACAGGAUUAGAUACCCUGGUAGUCCACGCCGUAAACGAUGAGUGCUAAGUGUUAGGGGGUUUCCGCCCCUUAGUGCUGCAGCUA
rnacentral:rRNA from 1 species